CAAGUCGAGCGAGAAAGUGGAGCAAUCCAUGAGUACAGUGGCGUACGGGUGAGUAACACGUGGGUAAUCUACCUCUUAGUGGGGAAUAACCAGGGGAAACUCUGGCUAAUACCGCAUAAGCCUGAGAAGGGAAAGCAGCAAUGCGCUGAGAGAGGAGCCCGCGGCCGAUUAGCUAGUUGGUGGGGUAAGAGCCCACCAAGGCAGAGAUCGGUAGCCGGCCUGAGAGGGCACACGGCCACACUGGCGCUGAAACACGGGCCAGACUCCUACGGGAGGCAGCAGUGGGGAAUCUUGCACAAUGGGGGAAACCCUGAUGCAGCGACGCCGCGUGAGCGAUGAAGCCCUUCGGGGUGUAAAGCUCUUUCGUCAGGGACGAUAAUGACGGUACCUGGAGAAGCAGCUGCGGCUAACUACGUGCCAGCAGCCGCGGUAAUACGUAGGCAGCAAGCGUUGUUCGGAGUUACUGGGCGUAAAGGGUGUGUAGGCGGUUCUUUAAGUUUGGUGUGAAAUCUCCCGGCUCAACUGGGAGGGUGCGCCGAAUACUGAGGGACUAGAGUACGGGAGAGGAAAGUGGAAUUCCUGGUGUAGCGGUGAAAUGCGUAGAUAUCAGGAGGAACACCGGUGGUGUAGACGGCUUUCUGGACCGUAACUGACGCUGAGACACGAAAGCGUGGGUAGCAAACAGGAUUAGAUACCCUGGUAGUCCACGCCCUAAACGAUGCAUAUUUGGUGUGGGCAGUUCAUUCUGUCCGUGCCGGAGCUAACGCGUUAAAUAUGCCGCCUGGGGAGUACAGUCGCGAGGCUGAAACUCAAAGGAAUUGACGGGGGCCCGCACAAGCGGUGGA
rnacentral:rRNA from 1 species